CCGUCCCAUGAUCCAAUCUCCCCCGACCCCUCGCCCUCGUUCCCAUCUCUCCAUGUUCAAUGCCCCAAGAACCCACACGAUCUCCACCUCCUCGCUCCCUCAUCCACCAUGGCCGCUACGGCCACCGCCAUCGCCCAUCUCCCCCUCCCUAUCUCCACCACCUCGUCGUGCUUCGCUGUGGUCCAUCCCAGCGCUGCCGCUGCUGCACCCCGCCCUCUCUCCAAGGCGAUGGCUGUGAUGGCGGAGGCCCGAAACCCGGUCUCCUCUGCAGCCCGCCAACACUGGAGAUGCAAGACCACGACGGAAGUGGUCAUGUGGUCGGAGGUGUUGUGCGGGAGAAUGCAAUGGCGGGGAGGGAGGUCGGGGUUGUCCGAGCUAUGGUGGAUGUCGAGGAGGAGGAGAAGUACGCACUGCCACUAGGCAGCGUGGGCAGGGUGCUUGCCGGAAUGCCACACAGAUGGGCGCCACCGUGCUCACCGGCGGUGUCAAUUUGGCGGCCAACUCUAGCUGCGUCACCGCUUCCGCGCUCUUCCUCUUCAGGCAUGGCCAUCUCAAGGCGAAUAGGGUAACCAAGGAGGACCCCGUUGAUUCCCUGGAUCAGACGGGAAUCUGUGGGAUAUCUUUGUCAAAGGUCAGCUGCAUGACAUGCUUUAUGGGUGUAGGUUUGAUGGCAUCUUGGUCCCUCGCUGCUGACAGUACUUCUGUGCUUCCAAUGUUGUAGUGGAUCCUUAUAGUAUGUUGAUGAUAUGCAUACUUUUCUGUUUGCUUUGUGAUGUUCACGUUUGAAGCUGUAAUAAUAUGUUGGAGGCCUGCUUUUUGCGUUGCAA